ACCAUAGUCAAUUAGAGAAAUUUCAAGUAACAAACAUGCAUCACGAAUGAUGGAUUGGGAUCCUUAUAUAAUUCCAAAUUUCCAAUGAGAAAAGAAAAUAAUAUUUACCAAAUGGGUGGUGUGGAUGAUUAUAUUGAAAUCCUCUUUGUCUAUAUAUUGAAGAUGAUUGAAGCCUGUUGUUCACAGCCCUCAACAAACAAUAUCAUUCAGCUUCACUCAUAGUGAUGGCCACUCCUCAUUUCUUCUCCAGCUUCAUCAAACCUUCUUUGAUUUUCUUGGUUUUUGUUUCAUGCUUUUCAGAGCAAAGCCAUGCUUUUGAAGCCAAAAAUACUAAGAUUCAAGACUCUUUCCACACAAUUCAAUUUAGCUCUCUUAUUCCAGCCUCUGAUUGCAGUCCUUCCAAAGCUAGAGGAGGUGCUGAGGGAGUUGGCGUUGCUACUGGAGAUGAAGAGGGGGAGUUAGUUAAAAUACCUAACUCGGCAGUGACGUGGGAGCCGGACCAUACAAGUGGCUAAAAGAGCGGGUUCGGGCUAGAAGGAGUCGCGUUUCCUUUUAUUAAAAAACGCUGUAUCAUUUAAAUUUAGUUUUUAAUAUUUUUCUCAGUUAGUUAUUACUCACUACAAGAAAUUCGCUCAUACUUGACGGUUUUUCACCGUCAUCUAUGGUAUUCGUCGACCGUCAAGUAUAGUGGUGUCAUGUAUAGGACCUAGUAUAGAUGACGGUUUUUGACUGUCAUCUAUUCUCAUUAUUCUUGACGGUUAUGUAUGUAUAUAUGACGGUUUGUAACCGUCAACUAUAAUGUAAUACUUGACACUCAUAAUAUUUUUCUUGACGUUUUCGUACCGUCAAGUAAAAUAAAAUACAUGACGGUUAUUGAUAUA